AUGGCUAAUGCAUAUAUUAUGACAAAAUUUUGUGACGUUUCUGUUCGUUUUGGUGUUUGGCUGUUUGAGCGCACAUUUUUCUUGAGGCAAGCCAAAGUUCGGUAGCGGAAGUCUACACUCCUUCGUCUGUGAUUGGUCAACAAUAAGGAUUCUUCAAUUAAGUGAUUGUUGUCUUUCAACGACAGAUGACUCGUUUUCAUGCCAAUGUUGUUAACUUGAGCAAUACUGCAUCAAACAUCUUGGUUAGAUGUAAUAUCAGGCGACAAAAAAAAUGUCAAAAUGAAUGGCAGAGUCAUGAUUUAUCUUAGAUUGAUUCGUGACUAUUUUUAUGAAGUGUUACUGGAGGUUGUUUUGUACAGCGUCUCAAGAGGGACAAACAGUAACAUUUCUGUUUUUUUCAAGCAAAUCUUUUUAAGGGAUUAUGCGUGGCACAGAUGUUCGCUUCGCCAAAUUGAGUUCUGCUAGGAACAAACCGGACCAAGGGGUAAUGUAAGGAUCGACGCUGGUGACGAGAAGCAGGUACAGGGAGUGAACAUUUUAAUAACCACGGACAGGAACAGAAUAAGAACUGUUUCUGGACAGGUGAAACGGAACAACCACAAUGCUGAUACAGGGCUGAAUCAGAGGAAACCGACAGAUACAGGGAAGGCAAUCAAAAGGUGAAGGAGUCCAGCAAGGGGGAAGCCGAUGACAUCACGAAUCCCCGUCAGACCGACUCCUUGAAUACCCUACCUCUUGAAGUUUGAAGUUACCUGAAAUAAUGUAUAUUGAACAUCUAUUUCAUAACACAGACCCAUUUCCCCAAAUAAUUGAAGUGCACAUUGUAAUCAUUUAGUCGGUGCCUUUAGUCAUGCACAAAGUGAGGCCCAUACAGAAAUGGUUUGUCGAGAUCUGUGUGGAAGAACUUGACUGGCCUGCACAGAGCCCUGACCUCAAACCCAUCGAACACCUUAGGGGUGAAUUGGAACGCUGACUACAAUCCAGGCCUAAUCACCCAACAUCUGUGCCCGACCUCACUAAUGCUCUUGUAGCUGAAUGGAAGCAAGUCCCCGCAGCAAUGUUCCAACAUCUAGUGGAAAUCCUUCCCAGAAGAGUGGAGGCUGUUAGAGCAGAAAAGAGGGGACCAACUCCAUUAAUGCCCAUAAUUUUGGAAUGAGAUGUUCGACGAGCAGGUAUCCACAUACUUUUGUAUUGUAUAUAAGUGAAUUUGUCCGAAUACUUUUGGUCCCCUGAAAUGGGGGUACUCAUUCCAAAUAGUGCUCUAAUAUCUAAACGGUUCUCCCGAUUUAGAGAUGAAAAUACCCUCAAAUAAAAGCU